rnacentral:rRNA from 1 species
UACGUAGGGGGCAAGCGUUGUCCGGAAUUAUUGGGCGUAAAGAGCUCGUAGGCGGUGUGUCACGUCGAUCGUGAAAACUUAACAGCUUAACUGUGAGCGUGCGGUCGAUACGGGCAUCACUGGAGUUCGGCAGGGGAGACUGGAAUUCCUGGUGUAGCGGUGAAAUGCGCAGAUAUCAGGAGGAACACCGGUGGCGAAGGCGGGUCUCUGGGCCGAUACUGACGCUGGAGGAGCGAAAGCGUGGGGAGCAAACAGG